UACAUGUGGGGCAAGCGUUGUUCGGAAUUACUGGGCAUAAAGGGUGCGUAGGUGGUUUGUUAAGUCACGGGUGAAAGUUUUCGGCCCAACCGGAAAAUUGGCCUGUGAUACUGGCGAACUUGAGUGCGUGAGGGGUAACCGGAACGAGCAGUGUAGCGGUGAAAUGCGUAGAUAUUGCUCGGAAGGCCAGAGGCGAAGGCGGGUUACUGGUACGCAACUGACACUGAGGCACGGAAAGCGUGGGGAGCAAACAGG
rnacentral:rRNA from 1 species